UACAGGGGGGCAAGCGUUGUUCGGAAUUACUGGGCGGUAAAGGGCGCGUAGGCGGCCAACUAAGUCACACGUGAAAUCCCCAGGCUUAACCGUGGGAACUGCGUGUGCAUACUGGAAUGGCUUGAAUUCGGGAGAGGGAUGCGGAAUUCCAGGUGUAGCGGUAAAAUCCGUUGAUCCAUUGAAAGACCACCAGUGGCGAAGGCGG
rnacentral:rRNA from 1 species